rnacentral:tRNA from 1 species
AGGUGUGGCUCAGUUGGUAGAGCGCGUGGUUUGGGACCAUGAGGUCGCAGGUUCGAUUCCUGUCACCU